GAGACAGAGACACAGAGAGAGAGAGAGAAACAGAUAGACACUCAGACAAGCAGACAAAUAAAGACUAAUUAGAAGUAAAGGGAAGAUAAGUACAAGGGUAGUUUAUAUUCGUGUAUUCUGUCAUUUUCACGUGCAAAACGGGUGCAUAUACGGAUACCGUACCCAUAUACGCACUGUACGUGUACAUAUGCACAUGUUUGAAUGUUUUGUUUGUGCACAAUAUAUAUGUAAUAUUUUCAGUCUGGUAAUUACAUUAUUCUGAUUGUUAUUAUCAUAAAACGACAGAUUGUCACUAUAUUGUCCUUAUCUUGCGGGUUAGAUUCUUACAGAUUUGGUUCAGAUUUUAAUCACGUUUUCGAAAAUAUAAGUUCUCUGUUCCUGUAAUUGUUAUAGAAAGCACCAGUCAAUCAUUUAUUUAUCGUGCAAUUGUUGUUAAAAUUUAAUGAUUUUUGAAAUCUGUGAAAUACUCUUAGAAUGUAUAAAAAAAAAUGUGAGAGUAAUUGGUGUUAAGAUUUGUUUCUGAAAUCUGUGAAAUACUCUUAGAAUCUAAAAAAAAAUGUGAACUUACUGUUGAAUAUGAUACUCAUCAAGUACGACUCCAAAUUAAAAGUGUGACCUUCCCUUAAGUGUGGUUCCAAGCCUGCAGAUUUCACCCUCAAACCUCCAAGUGUGAACUCAACCUUCAAGUGUGAUUUAAACUUCACCCUCUACCAAACCUUUCAAUUCUCCAAGUGUGCUAUAAGGGUGCGAGUGUGACUAUCAUAACCUUCUAGAAUGACCUCUGCUGCCGAGUGUGUCUCCAGGGUCCUGAAAAGGUGUUAAAAGGACGAGCUCAUAUGUGGCUGGUCUUCUGUGCUGAUCGAUUGGUACUUCGUCCUUCAAGUAUGAGAUCAGCUGGAGUUGGUACUUCAAGUAUGAGUACGUCCUUCAAGUAUGAGAUCAGCUGAAGUCAGUGUGAAGGAGGACCAGAGACAGCCACAUGAAGUCACAUCUUCCUCGAAAGCAAAGGCACUUCACACUUAGACAUGACACACUCAGAGACUUCAGAAUCCAGCUUGGGAUGGUUACACUUCGAGGAUGAAACGUCACACUCGAAAGUGAUGGAUAUUGCACACUGAAGGGUUAGGUUCUCACGCUUCAGAGUCAUUCUGAAACAUAUCCCACUUCAUGUUUAUGUUACGGAAGUAGAUUUAUAUGAAAAUGUACGUCGACUAGAUAAAUAUGUGUGUGUGUGUAUGUGUGUGUGUGUGUGUGUGUGUGUAUGUGUGUGUGUGUGUGUGUGUGUGUGUGUGUGUGUGUGGGUGUGUGUGUGUGUCACACUUAAUGUUUAUUAUUACGAAAAUGUAUUCAUAUAAGAAUGGAGGUAGACUAAAUAGAUAUAAUUAGAAGCAGGUAGAAAUAUGCAGAUAGGUAGACUGGUGACUAUGUAGCCCGAUAAAGUGAUACGUAAAUUGAUAAGAUUUUGUGCAUUAAUACUUCUUAAAUGCUGCAAGUUAUAUCAUGUAUUUUAUCUGAUUUACAAUCUAUGUAUCUAGAUUUUGACAUUUUUCAGAUAUCAAAUUACAUCAAAUGUUAUUCAUCCAUACAUCAUCGCAUCUAUUUGUUAUUUUUAUUAAUAAAUUUGUAUAUUUUUGA